GUCACAGCACAGACGUGGCGUGACAAUGCUGUUGAGCUGGAAAUGACAGCAAGAGAGAGGAGGAAAAUGAAGGCGCUUCCAAAACUGGAAAUUGUUGGGGGAAAGUUCACCCACCGACAGACGAAAGGUACUGGAUUCUUUCCAAACCGAACUUUUCUGACACUGGUCAAGAAACAGGGGCCGUGACUGGUCUGUCACCUGCAGGACGUGGCCCAUCUAGCAGCUGGGAAGGAGUUUUGACGAGAGUCACCCACACACCUGCACCCCAUCUUGACGCCUAACAAGAGAAGAAUGUUCGAUACACUGUUUCCAGACCUCACACUUCAGCAGGAGAAGCAACAGAGAUGGAUGAGCUCUGAGGUAUCUGUCUCCCUGCCCUGAAAUUGCCACCAGGAAAUCCCUCUGAUGGGCUCUGUGGAGACAGCCUUGGGAUGCUCGGCACAGGAAGCUGCUGCCCUCAAGUGGAGGACUGAAAAUCCCCCACCCACCACAGUCCAGGGCCCGAUGUUCACGUUUGUAACUGGACGUGACUUUCUAAGGCAGAUGAAACCGUGGAGCAUUAUAAGGGGUUACUUUUGUAGGACUCAGCCAGGACAAGUUCAAUAGAGGUCCGAGUCUCAGUAGUUUACCUUAGACAAUACCUGAUUCCGAGAAAGACCACAAACCGAGACCACCCAUGCUCCACCCAGGAACAGACCAUCCUAUGGAAAUUCCUAAUGUUCCAGUCAUUGUAGACAGGAUCAUCUGCCAGCACACACCAUCGCUUUUCACUAGGACACCCCUGGACAAAUGCCAGCCAAUUAGGGGUCCUGACUUUUAGAAAUCCCUCACCCCCACCUUUGCUACUAUAGAAACCCAACCCCAGCUGAGCUCGGGGCUCUCCGAUUACCCCAAUAUGUCAGACACACGGAGAGUCGGAGUUUGCAAACUUGUGUAAGAAUAAAGGCUCUUUCCUUUACAUAUAGGACUCAGUCUCCUGGUUGGUUUCGGGGGUACUCCAUGAUCUGGGAAUAACAACUUUAUCACCAUUGUGUUGAACACCCCUGCUACCCCCACCCUGCUCACCCAGAAGGAUCCAUA